AUGGUCAUGGCGUGGGGACCUGGAACAUGUACCAGGUCCCAGUCUAAGGCAGGAGGGGGAGGAGGACAGGACGAUCUCAUCGAAGGGAUCUGGGUGGCCAUUCACCUGGGGCAGGAAUUGGAAGUCCCAUGUGUCGAGGUCGAUUCUGACGUACCCACCCAGAUUUUCUGGAAGGGGAAAGAACAUGAAGAUACUGAUUGUUCUGAAUCUCGCGUCAUCAGUUCACAAGACACCUGUGGUCUAUUGCCCAGCAAACCUCCAUCCCCGUUCUUCUCCAGAGAGCUCGUCACUCACAUCCACAGUGUUCUGAGAGAAGCCCUCUGCACAACCCAGCCCUACACCCUGGCCACAGUGUGCCCUGGUGGAGGGCAUCUGACUCAGGUGAGGCCGAUCAGAGCCCCUGUGAAAAUUGGACUUGGGCCCCCAAAAGUUGAGCUGGUGUCUCUCCAGCAGCUCCAGAAGCUAUAGGUGAGACACCUCUGGGGCCAUCGGGAGACUUGUUUCUUUUACUCGGAACAGGGGAACAGAGGCCUCAAUCUGCAGUCAAAGAAAAGAAAGAUGCUCAGAAAGGAACAGAGAAGAGAUGCAGAGUAAGCGCCAAUGUCUUUUCAUCCUUGGUGUGGUUUUUCCAGAGGUUGACCUGCACCUCUACCCUGCCUUCGGUAUUACUGUCUGAGACUUCAUCAUCCAUUAAUAAAAUAUCUACACUUAAAGCCAGUUUAAAUUGAGUUUUCAUUAAUGUGCAAUGAAACAAAGUCAAGGGAAGACACAUGUAGAGUUCCCCAAGUUCCCCUCCUCCCAUACUUUCUAUUUGUAAUCUGGUAUUGUAUUAUACAAAUUUUAUCAUAACUUUUAGUGAAUCUGAAUUUUGUGUAUUCAUUGUAGAGGACUAUGGGUCACAUUCAUUCCUCCAUUUCCUUUGCUAAGAGCAAAAUUAUUUGUUUAGAUUUUCACUCCUUUCUCCCAGGUAGUGCACUGACCCCAGCCACUAAGAUGUGUAGCAGUUCCCUUGCAACAGUGCAUUAAAACCAACUAAAGGGAAAGGCUUUUCAUUCCAUGGCUAAAGGAGAGGUUUUUUGUCUCUUGCAGCCAUAACAAAGACAACUGCUGUCUCAGCUGCUGCUGGCUACCAUCUCACCACCGUGAAAAACAGCAAGCCUGGGGACAAAAGCUGAGAUGAUGAGGAGGACAAAGCCAGGAGAAAGAGAAAAGGAGCCAGCACCCCCUCCACUGUCCCAUGGCCUUGCUGUAUGGGCUGGGUCUUUUCCUGUGUGAGAUAAGAUAGUAAAUUCCCCAACUGUUUCAGUCACUUUGAGGGUCUCCCUUUUUUUUCACAUGCAACCCAGACUCCUCAUCUUCAUCAUCAAACAUUUAGUUCAUAUCUCUUUUAUUAAGGUUUUUAAACUUUAAUUGAAAUGCUCAAUUUUAGAAUAUCUGACUCUUUUAAAAUUCUGUCUUUUUAAAAUAAUAUCCUACUCUUGCCUCAUGGAUUCUUUCAUUUCUGUCCUUGAAUAUUAAUGUGGGUUGUGAGCACAAUAAUAAUCUUUGGUUUGUUAUUGUUGUUGUUUUUGUUGUUUGUUUUCUGAGACAGGGUCUCCCUAUGUAGUUCAACCUGGCCUUGAGCUCUUGAACUUGCAGUGAUCCUCCUGUCUCAGCCUCCUGAGUGCUAGGAUUACAGGUAUGUGCCACCAUGCCCAGCUCAAUAAUAAUCUUAAAUAGCAACAGCAUAGAAAAAAGAAUAUACCUCAAGUAUGUUUGUUGACAAUUUAAACUAUCAUGAACUAAAGUGCAGUUGAUUUUUUCUUUUGCUACCCAGCCACACCCUUCCUAUUUGGGCAAGAUCUUCCAUUGACUGCCUUGGUGAGAGUCAUAUUCCAGCUUUCUACUAUGAAAACCUCAAGUUUACACAUUCUACCCUCCCCUCUGUGUCAGGCAACAGAUGGAGAGGAAUACAAUGUAGGCUUAGCUAAUCAGGUUCUCUCACAGGAACUGGAAAUCACUUUUUAUUAUUAUUGUUUUGUAUUUUGAGGCAGGGUCUUGCUAUGUAACCCAGAGUGGCUUCAAACUCUCAAUUUUGCCUCAGCCUCCCGAGUGCUAUUACAGGCAUGCCCCGUCUAACCCCCUUGGGAACUUCAGAUCUUGAGUGAGCGAUGACCCAAGGACAGUUGGAAUCUUCUUUCUUUUUUUUUUUUGGUAUCGGGGAUCGAACUCGGGUCCUUGCACUUGUGAGGCAGGCAGAGGAACCACUGAGCUAAAUCCCUAGCCCCUUUCUUUCUUUCUAACAGUAUUGGUGAUUGAACCUAGGAUCUCCGCACUGUUAUAGUCCACACCCUUUUAUUUUUUAUUUUGAGAUAAGGUCUGAGUCUAUAAAUUGCCACAGCUGGGCCAGAAUUUGUCCUCCUCCUGCCUCUAUCUCGCAGAGUGCUGGGAUUAUAGGUGUGCACCACCAUACCUGGUUUGGAAUCCAGUUUUGAUGAUGGUGGCAAGAAUCUAGCUACCGAGGUGGUGCGACCUCACCAGACUGUUCAGGUUGCUUGCUCUCAGUGUUUCCCAUUGCCUGGCCCUACUUGAUUGUUGCGUGACUUCCAAGCAUGAUUCUCCAGCAGUCCUGAUAAUUUUGUGAGUUCCCAAAAGACUUUUCAAUAAAUCCUCUUAUUAUUUGUCCAUGAAAAUGUAUCAACUAUUCCUUAGCAAUAUCACAGUAGAAAUACUUCACCAAAUUUUAUUAGAACCCUAUAUGAAGAAUUGACACCAAGACAACAAUACUAUUAAGUUCACCCAAAACCUUUGAGAUUACAGUUUGAAUGAAUGUGAACAACUGACUGAAUUUUUCCAGAGUGUAAAACAAAAAGCAAAACUAUCUAUUCACAGAUGAUAUGAUCUUGUAUAUAUAAAUCCUAAAGAAACCAUUAAAAUAAUUAAGUUAGAACUAACAAGUCCAGCAAAGUAGCAGAGUAUACGACAAAAUAAAAAUCAAGGCCCUGGGGAUGUAGCUAAGUAGUAAGCACUUGCCUGUCAUGUUGAAGCCUUAGCCUCAACACCCAGCACUGAAAAAAAUUAUACUUCCAUACAUUGGAAUGAAAUGUCCAGGGAU
rnacentral:lncRNA from 1 species